rnacentral:misc_RNA from 1 species
UAGGAUCUGACUCUAGUACGAGAGGACCGAGUUGGACAUACCUUUGGUGUACCAGUUGUCGUGCCAACGGCAUCGCUGGGUAGCUACGUAUGGACGGGAUAAUUACUGAAAGCAUCUAAGUGAGAAACCCCCCUCAAGAUUAGAUUUCCCCAUUAGGGCCGUGAGAGACUAUCACGUUGAUAGGCCGGGUGUGUAAGUGUGGUAACGCAUGUAGCUAACCGGUACUAAUAGCCCGAUUGGUUUGCUCAUUUAGCGGAUGCGUGCGGUGUUAAGACCGCACUAUUUGUGCUUUACGGCUCUUUCCACUAGACUUGUAUUAUGCUUCGGCUGGUGGUUAUGGCGGGAGUGGCACACCCGGUAACAUUCCGAACCCGGAAGUUAAGCCUCCUAGCGCCUGUGGUACUUUGUCUUAA